rnacentral:rRNA from 1 species
UACGGAGGGUGCGAGCGUUGUCCGGAUUUAUUGGGUUUAAAGGGCGCGUAGGCGGCCUGAUCAGUCGGGGGUGAAAGCCUGUGGCUCAACCACAGAAUGGCCUUCGAUACUGUCGGGCUUGAGACCGGAAGAGGUAAGUGGAACUGCGAGUGUAGAGGUGAAAUUCGUAGAUAUUCGCAAGAACACCAGUGGCGAAGGCGGCUUACUGGUCCGGAUCUGACGCUGAGGCGCGAAAGCGUGGGGAGCAAACAGGG